CAGUAUGUAAAUGCUGCGCUGCUGGAGUACCCAGAAGCCAGCUCACGUGUGGGCAGCUGGGUGGCGUGAAGCCGGCUUUGGGUGUCUUGGCGACGUCCAUCAUCUGUACGCCAUGUCCCCAAGGCAACUGGAAGAGUGCCUAUGAAAAGUGCUUGUACAUCCCAAACAUCCAGAUGAUUUAACCAUAAGACUUUGUUUGUUUGUUUUUUGUGAAGAGCAGGAAAACAGAUCUCCAGUUGGUGCUGGCUGUAGCCCUGUUAGUAGAGUCACUUGUCAGUUUGUGACAUUAACACAGUUAACAUCAGGACAUUGUGCAGAAGUGAAAAUAGUGUGUUAACAAAUACUGACAUUACCUAGAGAAUUGCUACUCAGUGGUAGCUUGUGAAUUGGUACUAGUCCAUGGUGAGUUUCUAGGAAAGAACACAUUACUUUUUUUACAUUAUGUUUUAACACUUCCAGUGCUAGCAUGUUGGAGUUUGGGAACAAGCGAGUAAUGUUAGUUUUAUAUUCCCCAAGUGUUAUUUUUUUUAGGAUGGGGUGGGGAAGAGUUGGCAUUUUUUUUUGUUGGCUAAAGAUUCAAAAUAAAAAAAAUAAUGUUUUACUUGUCAAAAUAAGGUGUAGUUUUACUGCACUAUAAGUGAAUAUCCAAUGAAGACUAAUGCUAAUGUGCUUAGCAUUUGAAAGAUUUUUUUUCAAGCUUUGGUCUUUAAAUAAAAAGUGUGAAGAUGAAAGAACCUGCUUCCCAUCAGCCCAUACUUACACUCAAGGUGCAUAGUCAGCCCAGAUUCUUAACUGUGAAAUCAAUGUGAUGAAAUAGGUGAAGCAAUGACAAGGAAUAUGUGAUUCUUCAGCUGCUGUAGGACUGCAGAUCCCAUUAGCCUUAGACAGCUUGACAGAUAGUGAAGAGUAAUUGGAAUUGCAGUGCAACAACAUUUGGAGAGUCACACGUUUCCCACUCCUUGCUCAGAAUGGAUAGCAGGAUCUACAUGAAGCUGAUGUAAAGGUAACAUUAAGUAGUUCCUGGAAAAUUCAUCUGUUUCAUUAGCAGCUCCAGAGCAGAACAGCCAGAUGCAAUUAUUUUUUAAUAAGCCACGUGUUUCAGAAGCUCUGUGAAGGUUUUAAAAAAGCAUAGUAACUACAGUACCUCUAUUCUAUUUGGGAAAGACUGCUAGUAGUAAAUUUUGCAUUUGUACUGUGGACAUAAGUGCACACAUAUACACAGAUUAUAUGUGGCAAAAAGAACAAAAAACAACCAUCAAAAAUCCACUCUGUGGGAUUACAUUUGGUUUAAAUGAAGAAGGAUGGAAUAGAAAGGGUGUAAUUUUAUUUGUUGGUGUUUAGAUCCAUAUUUUUUUUUAAAAAUCUCCAUGCCUUAUUCAGUAGUAAUUAUCCAAAGGUAUGGUGUGUUCAGAGGCCUCUCUGCCACUAAGAAUUGUAAAAACAGUUGCCUUGUUACAGUGCGUCCACGUCAUACACAGGCGCACUUUAUGGGGCUUUCAGCAUAUGCUGAAAGCCGCGUGGGGAUAAGAGGCGGCACGUCCCAUACGGAACAGUAGGGUGCGUGGCCAUGGCGUGCAUGAGCCCCAUUCAUUUAAAUGGGGCUCGAGCAUAGGCAGAAUUUGCUUUACGCGGGGGAGUCCGGAACGGAUUCCCCGCCAAAAGUAAGGGUGCACUUUAAUAAGUUUGGGUUGGCAAAAUAAGAAGAACAAGUCUGAUGCACAGGCCUCACUCCACUGGUAAGCUCUCCUAAAGAUUUCCCAUUGCAGUGAAUGGGAGUUGCACAUGAGUAGUUCAGUAUCUCCCAUUAAUUUCAGUGAAAGGUCCAUAAGAAAACUAUGGGUGCUCUUGACUGACAGAUGAGCUUUUGGCUGACAUGUGAGUCUGCCUGAGUCUUAAGAUGUUUGGGGGAGUGCUUACUUUCUAUCUCACCACCCUCACAAGUUCUUCUGGUAAGGACAUGGGAAAGAGUCUUUUCAGUGGCUGUUCUUAGAUUAUAGAAAUCCUUCCCAAGGGAGGUGUAGUUGGACUCCCUCUGCACUUUCUUUUCACCUACAGGCAAACUGACCUUCAGUCUUUAAUUCACUGGACCAUAUAAUGGAUAUAGUGUAUUUUUGAUAUGUUAUAUAUGUUGAAUGUGUGUUUAAUUGUUUUAAAUUAAUGUUUCAACUGAAUUGUUUGUUCAGUGCUUUUUGAAAUUUGUGAUGUAUACUGUUUUAGCUGCUUUGUUUUAUUACUGUAAACCUGUUUGGAUCCCAUGUUGAGAGAAAGUCAGGAUAAAUGAAUAAAUGAUAAUUUCUGAUUCUAUUUCUUACUUACCCCUCACAGAUUCUGUCUUAUAAACGCCGGAGUACUGUAUCUCUAUUUUAGUAGCUUUCAGCAGAUAGAUGAAGAAGAAUAUGGUGGAACAUGGGAGCUAACAAAGGAAGGAUUCGUGACAUCUUUUGCACUGUUUUUGGUUGUCUGGAUAAUCUUUUACACUGCCAUUCAUUAUGAUUGACAGAGUCUGCCAAAUCAAUUGUCUUAAUAGAAUGAAGAACACUUUAAGAUGCAGCCUUUGGAGUGGGGGGAGGUAAAAUAAGCUGGCUUCUGUACUCGGGGUCCAAGGAUAUGGGACAAGCCACAUGCCUUCUGAGAAGAGAAGUUGAAUCUGUCUUGAUUAUUUCAAAAAUUGUUGAUUUUCCAGAACUCAGAAAAAGCCAUCACAAUAUCUUGCAGACAGUACAAGACUGUUCAACUAUUCACUCCUCUCUCUGACUUCAUCCAGUAUGGUGACAACAAAUCUUAAUAUCCUAAAAGGAUGGCCAUGUUAAUUAAUUUGGGCCCAUUACACUGUCCUCUCUGAAUGAGCUGUAUUUAAAUUGUGACUUGUCUUCCAUUUGCUAGACAUGCAGUUUUAAAACUGUAACAUGAUGAGACCUUUGGCGGGAGGAUAAAACAAAAUCAAAAUUGAUUAUAUAGCUUAGGUUUGAUGGUUGUCUCAGUUUGCUUUAAGAAAAUUAAAGAUUUGGUCUGAUUUAAUUGAUUGUACUAAGUAUUAAUGUUUUAACGGGUUCCUUGAGAAUUUCUCAGAUUUGUGUUGUGUACAGUAUUACAAGCAUAAUCAAAUUGUUUCCUAAACUCUUGGGAUUUUGACUCCUUAUUGAGAAAUGCUAGGCUUACCUGGCUUGACUGUUGAAUUUGCAGAAAAGUCAUAGUAAUUUAGGAACACCUUAAUAGCCAACUAAUUCAGUGCCUACCUCAGAGUUCAGUAGCUUAAAUGCACAAAAUAAUUCAAAAUGUAUUUCAGAACUCAGUUACUUGGGGAUCUUAAUACAUUUCUGAAGUUGAAACACAGCAUAGAGUAAUUAAGGCAGCUAUUGUCUUCUACAGCUCUUUCAGAGUGAGAGUAAACUGACCUACACUUUCAGUUUUGAUUUUUGUGAUUAUUAAAGAUAUCAAAAGUAAUAAUGACAUGGACUGUAUGUUAGUUUAGGAUACUGAUGAAUCUUAAAUAUAGAUGAUGUCUAAAUAAAAUUUUAUAUAUGCAUUCCUGUCUACAUGGAUAUAAUUAGGAAUGGCCUCUUCUUGAAAUAGAUCUGUUUUUUAAAAUUUUAAUCGUAACAUGAAAGAGGUAGAAAGAGGGGCUUUAUGCUAAGACUGCCUUAUGGGGAGAACUGGACUUGAGUAUUAACACACUAGAUGAAUUCUUAAUUCUCUUGCUUUUCUCUUAACACAAAAUACUGGAAUUCACAAGGUAGCUUUCUGUAUAAUCUCUUGAACACCAUUUUCUCCUCUUAUUGUGGUGGUAUUAAAAGUUUCAGGGUAUAAAGCAUAUUUAUACAAUUGUGGGAAUGGGAUAGAAUAUAUCAGAGGGCUAGGCAAAGUGAAACAGGUGCACAUAUAAUAAAAGAAAUCUUAUUAGACAGUUUUGAAUUCAAGGAAACUGACUUUUGGUAUGCAGAUUUAUUGCUUUCAUACAUCAACACUGACCACUGUAAAGAUCUGAAGACCUGUAUCACCUUGCCCAGUGCUUUGAAAAUUUAGUGCAAGCAACAUGAUUUGCAUCUUUCAUGAUCCUCUUGCCUUCUGUCUCACAACUGUAUAUUUGUAUGUAUAUGCUUUAUAACCUGAAGCUUUAAUAUCACUUUAUACUGUAUCUGAAGAAGUGGGUUUAUAUCCACAAAAGCUCAUGCUAAAAUAAAAACCAGUUAGUUUUUAAAGCGGUGCCACAUUCCCCCCCCCCCCCACACACCUAUUUUUUAUGUUGCAAGAGACUAAAAUGUCUACCUUUAAAAAAAACCUUCUGGGAUGUAGCUUAAGCUUUUAUAUUGCCCUCUUCAUUUGGGAACUGUCCUUUAUUUCCGUAAGAAGUUUUAUCUCUACCGGGCUUAAUUUAAAUUUGAUUUUCUUUACUUAAGGCUUCAGUCACACACCACAUGCAACAUAUUUUAUACAUGAAAGCUCUCUAAUGUCACAUGGUUAAGAUGGUAUGAGGUGUUCAUUAAUUUGUAGUGGUAUUAUCUUACUUCAAAAAGUGGCAUUAAAUUAUCUGUUACUGUCAUCCCUUAAUACUUGUGUACAAGAUCUGACCAUAGAUCAGUUUGCUAGCAUUGACUUUGUUACUUUCCAGCUUCAAGAAAGCCUAACCUUGGUGUGUUCUAUAAUUGCAGAGGCAAUACUUCUAGAGGUAAUUAUUUGGAUCCUAACCCUCUUGAAUGAACUUCCAUUCUUCCUGUGUUGCUGCAAGGGCAACUCUAGAGUGCUGGGGGACUUUCUGGAAUGGUGUUUAAUAUGGGUUAAAGGCAGAGUGCUGCAGCUGGCGAGCAGAGAAAUUGGUGGAAACACCCCCCCCCCCCCGCAGCAUGCAUGUAAUUAUAUCAAAGCAAUUAUUUCUCAUGGCGAGUACAUGGCCUUAAUUGAGACAAGUCCUGGUUUUGGAAUGAACAAAGGUAUGUAAAGGACCCCUCUCCUCCAUCAAAGAGCUAUUGCAACUAGUAUUGCAACUGGGUUAGUAGCUACAGUUUCCAGGUCAGAGGUUUUCAGGGACAUUGGAACAUAGAUAUUGCUCAGUGUCACUUCCUAUAUUGGAAUAUUAGUGUUCUAUUCAUGAGUGUGAUGCUGAAUAAAAUAAAUGCUAUUUCACUAAGUGACACCUGUCAUGAUCACCAUGAUAACUUGGCAGUCUUCAGCUUGAGAAGUGGCAGGUCUGACUAUAACUUUCCCAGCAAUAUUAGUGUACGUGAAUCUCGCCCAUAUUUAAUAAACUAUCUUCUCCCAAUGCCAAGGAGGGUUUUUUUUGUUUUGUUUUGUUUUGUUUUGGUAUUGUGUUAAACCAGUGCCUGAUAUGUGCUGAGUUCACACAUAGAAUGAGUUGAAACAGAUCGUCUUUGGAUGCAUGAUUCACUUUGUCCUACUAACUGUCUCAUCUUUACCAGCACAGAAAUUAUUCUAUAAGACAGUUGUCUUCUACAAAGUUGUAGCAAGAAAAAAAUGUGUUGCUUGAACUAAUUCACUAUUGUACAGUAAGUUUGUGGUCUUUUAUACAGUGGGACCUUGGUAUCUGCGGACUUACCACCUGUGGAUUUGAGCAUCCGUGGAUGACAAGCCCGUAUUGUCCCCAAAGGCAAUGCAUGCACGUGGCCGCACCGCCAUUAAGGACUACAGGAAUUCAACAUCCAUGGCUUUUGAUAUCUGCGGGGAGGAGGGGUUCCAGAACAAAUUCCCGCAGAUACCAAGGUCCCACUGUAGUGUGGUGUGAUUGCCAUUGCAAAAACAUUUUUUCAUACCUGGCUUCUGCAGUAUAUUGUUACUGCAUAAACAUUCUGUAUCAAAGGUAUACUUCCUCUGCUCAAAGCUCCAUGUGCAGGUAUUCUGGCUUCACAACCACCCAUGUCUUUAGAACUUUUAUGUAUUUAGUGUUUGAAUUUUGGAGCCAUUGUGAUAACAUGGCUUUGAAGCAGGAGCUACAUUGAAAAUAUAAGUUAGAUUGAUUAGCAGUCAUUGUUGUGUGCCUUCAAGUCAUUUCUGAUUUAUGGUGACCCUGCAGUGGGGUUUUCUUGGCAAGAUUUGUUCAGAGGAGAUUUGCCAUUGCCUUUUCUUGAUGCUAAAAGAGUAUGACUUGCUUAAGGGUUUCUUAGCAAAGCUGGGAAUCAAAUCCUGGUUUCCACAGUUGUAGUCCAACACUCAUACUGCUAAACCACUGGAAAAAUAAGUUUGAUUAUCAGUCCUUGCACAUAAUGACAGAUUUCUUUUCAGCUAUACACUGCAGAAGUUCAAGCCCAUCUUGUUAGCUAAAACUAACCUGUUAACUUGAGUUUCAAAAGUUGCUCCCAUCCAGCAUAAAGUGCAAAUCCUUGAGCUGCUGUAUGUUCACUCAAAAUUCUUUUAAAGCAGAGUGGAUAAAAAUACCUAACUGCUUUUUUCAAAACUAGUUUUUUUCAAAACUUGAAUCUUUUCUUUUAAAAAAUCAUAAAUACUAAUGAUAUUUCUUUAAUUAUAUUUUAAAAUAAAACAAAAACUAAGCACAGGCAUGAUAGUUUAAGACAGAAUUUGGAUAUAAGUAGUUAAUUAACUCAUUAAAAUACUGAUAAUUUUCUACUCACAUUACUUAAUUUGCUAGAAUGCCUGCUACAUGCUAAAAUUAAAGCAUAGGAUUAGCAAGUUAAUAUUGAUUUUAGAGCAUUAUACUGUACUAUGUAAGAGUAGGUGGUUUUUCCUUUUGCAGAUUCAGUAAAGUAGGUGGGCUUAAAAAGAAUUAGGAUUGAAAGAAACAUGUUUUAUGGCUCAGUUGCUUCCCAACAAGCACAGCUAGGUAUUAGCAGGAUUUCACCACAUCACCAAUUCUCUGACCAUUGGCUUGCUGCAGAAGGGGGGAUUUCUUAGCUUCUCAGCCCAAAAAGAUGAGCCCAGAUUUUGUUACCUAGCAACUGAAUAAAGCUGUUAACUUGGUUUCUGCCUUUGUUCUUGAGGGGGAACCUUUGUUGUAUGAAUGAGUAGCCAGUUUUCAAGCUGCAAGCCAAAUGAAGUGAAUUCUUCCCAUGGAUCUGUUGUGCCUGUGGACUCUAGCUUCUUCAGCACUAUUUCUUGCCUCCCACACUCUGACUCUUUCCCCAAGGACUUAUGCGUGUUCAUCCAAUGAAGGCCUCCCACUCUGAACCACUCCAGCUUCCCAUGGUCUUCUCAUCAGUCAGGUAAUUAUAACCCCAUUGCCAAUCCCUAUAAACUAUCCUAUUUCUAUAUUUCCAUUUCACUUCGCUUUGUAUGCUGUGUCUGUUUGAACUGCUGUCUUGAGUCUCAGUGAGUGUCCUCUGCAUUUUUUUAAAUAAAACCACCUUGAUUCACCCAAGACCUGGAGUCCUCUUCAGUUAGUA